GCCUGGGUGGCUCAGUCGGUUGAGCAUCCCGACUUCGGCUCAGGUCACGAUCUCGCAGUUUGUGGGUUCGAGCCCCAUGUCGGGCU
rnacentral:tRNA from 1 species